UUACUGGAAUUGAUUUAAAAUUACGGUA
rnacentral:piRNA from 1 species